CGCCUGAAGGAGACCAUGGUGGUCAAUGUCAGCCUGCGACAGAGGCUGCAGCGUCACACCAGCACCAUGGACAGAGACAGCGGAUGCACCUCCAACCUCUACUGGCAGGUCCUGGAUUCCAUUGUGCAGCUGUAUGAUGAAAACAGGGUCCUCAGGGAAAAAUACCAGAGACUCCCUGUGUGCAGGAACCCUGUGUGCAGAGGUAACAACUGAAGUAUUAAAUGACUUGUUUAAUUUCAAUACCAAAAGUUAAGUCAGCAAUAAU